rnacentral:rRNA from 1 species
CCUACGGGAGGCAGCAGUAGGGAAUCUUAGACAAUGGGGGCAACCCUGAUCUAGCCAUGCCGCGUGUGUGAUGAAGGCCCUAGGGUCGUAAAGCACUUUCGCCAGAGAUGAUAAUGACAGUAUCUGGUAAAGAAACCCCGGCUAACUCCGUGCCAGCAGCCGCGGUAAUACGGAGGGGGUUAGCGUUGUUCGGAAUUACUGGGCGUAAAGCGCACGUAGGCGGAUUAGUAAGUUAGAGGUGAAAUCCCAGGGCUCAACCCUGGAACUGCCUUUAAUACUGCUAGUCUUGAGUUCGAGAGAGGUAAGUGGAAUUCCGAGUGUAGAGGUGAAAUUCGUAGAUAUUCGGAGGAACACCAGUGGCGAAGGCGGCUUACUGGCUCGAUACUGACGCUGAGGUGCGAAAGUGUGGGGAGCAAACAGGAUUAGAUACCCUGGUAGUCCACACCGUAAACGAUGAAUGCCAGACGUCAGCAAGUAUACUUGUUGGUGUCACACCUAACGGAUUAAGCAUUCCGCCUGGGGAGUACGGUCGCAAGAUUAAAACUCAAAGGAAUGACGGAAUCGUCGACUGCAGAUGAGGUUC